rnacentral:rRNA from 1 species
UUCCGUAGGGUAACCUGCGGAGGGAUCAUUACCGAGUUAUACAACUCAUCAACCCUGUGAACAUACCUAAAACGUUGCUUCGGCGGGAACAGACGGCCCUGUAACAACGGGCCGCCCCCGCCAGAGGACCCCUAACUCUGUUUUUAUAAUGUUUUUCUGAGUAAACAAGCAAAUAAAUUAAAACUUUCAACAACGGAUCUCUUGGCUCUGGCAUCGAUGAAGAACGCAGCGAAAUGCGAUAAGUAAUGUGAAUUGCAGAAUUCAGUGAAUCAUCGAAUCUUUGAACGCACAUUGCGCCCGCCAGUAUUCUGGCGGGCAUGCCUGUUCGAGCGUCAUUACAACCCUCAGGCCCCCGGGCCUGGCGUUGGGGAUCGGCAGAAGCCCCCUGUGGGCACACGCCGUCCCUCAAAUACAGUGGCGGUCCCGCCGCAGCUUCCAUUGCGUAGUAGCUAACACCUCGCAACUGGAGAGCGGCGCGGCCAUGCCGUAAAACACCCAACUUCUGAAUGUUGACCUCGAAUCAGGUAGGAAUACCCGCUGAACUUAAGCAUAUCAAUAGCCCGGAGGAA